rnacentral:lncRNA from 1 species
AAUGAAUGCCUCAUUCGCCUUCAGUGUCUUAAUUAUACUGCAGGUACAAGAGAGACAUGGGCAUACUCCAGCAAAGUGCUGCUGAGAUCAUGAAUGAACUGAAGCAUCUCUCCUGCAAUGCAACCUGGAGAAGAGGAAGAUCAGGGGACCACUUCAGUGUCUAUAAAUAAGUACCUGAAGGGAGGGUGCAGAGAGGACAGAGCCAGGCACCGUGGUGACCAGUGCCAGGACAAUAGGCAAUGGGCACAAACUGG